rnacentral:rRNA from 1 species
UACGUAGGGUGCAAGCGUUAUCCGGAAUUAUUGGGCGUAAAAAGCUCGUAGGCGGUUUGUCGCGUCUGCCGUGAAAGUCCGGGGCUCAACUCCGGAUCUGCGGUGGGUACGGGCAGACUAGAGUGAUGUAGGGGAGACUGGAAUUCCUGGUGUAGCGGUGAAAUGCGCAGAUAUCAGGAGGAACACCGAUGGCGAAGGCAGGUCUCUGGGCAUUAACUGACGCUGAGGAGCGAAAGCAUGGGGAGCGAACAGG